GCCCUUCCCAACUGAGGCAAGUCCAUCACUCGUUUAUGUUCCUGCUAAACAAUGUUGAAGACAUCUGAAACAGAGAUAAAUUUUCUACAAGAUCUAGCAUUCUUUUUGUCCCGUGAACAUACCCUUUAAGUGCCUGGAGCUGUAUUACUCUACAAACAAAACUAUAGUGAGACCUGACUAUGUUUUUGACGAGCAAUGUCCAGCGCGCUCUUCUGCAUGUUAGUGCGUCUUCUCUAUCCCAACUGAACUCCCAGAGUCUCUUUUCCAUAGAGUACGCUGUAAAGUUGUUGAAAAAGUUAGCUGAUGAUGGCAACUUGAAAUUGGGAAAAGUUGUUCAUGCGCUUCUUAUUGUGUCUAAUCAUGCCUCAGAAGACCACGUAAUUCAAAAUAAUUGUCUCAUUAAUCUCUACUCAAGGUGUGGACAACUUGCUGUUGCUCGUCAGGUAUUCAACAGAUUGCAGCAACGAAAUGUAGUUUCUUGGAGCAUUUUAAUGGCAGGGUAUUUGCACAAUGGGUUAACUUGGGAAGUACCCAAAUUGUUCAAAGACAUGAUUUCACUGGAUAAUUUAUUCCCAAAUGAGUAUGUCUUGUCUACCGUACUUUCUUCUUGUUCCAGCGGUGGUUUGCUACACGAAGGGCGGCAGUGUCAUGCAUUAGUGUUGAAAUCAGGACUGGUGUUUCAUCAAUAUGUGAAGAAUGCUCUUCUAUCCUUGUAUACAGUGUCUUCAGAUAUGGAAGGGGUUCUGGAAAUCUUGAAGUUUAUUCCUGGAUUAGACAACAUUACUUAUAAUUCUGUUCUGAAGGGGCUCUUGGAUCAUGGGUAUACAAAUGAAGCAUUGGAUGUCUUCUCAAGGAUGUUGGCUGAGGGCUCAGUGGGAGACAGCAUUAGUUAUGUGAAUGUAUUUGGUCUUUGUGCUCGUCUCAAGGAUUUGAAAUUGGGUCAGCAAGUUCACUGCAGAAUGCUGAAGUCUGGUCUUCAGCUUGAUGUGUUCUUAAGUAGUGCAAUCAUGGACAUGUAUGGAAAGUGUGGUGAAAUUUUAAGUGCAAGAUAUAUUUUUUAUUCUUAUCCUGACCAUAAUGUGGUGUCUUGGACGACAAUUUUGGCUGCAAAUUUCCAAAAUGAGUGUUUUGAGGAAGCCCUGAAACUGUUCUUACAAAUGGAACUUCAGGAUGUUGAGCCAAAUGGAUACACUUUUGCAGUGUUGUUGAAUUCCUGUGCGGGUCUCUCAGCACUUGGGUGCGGGAAAACAUUACAUGCACGUGUUGAGAAGACAGGACAUAGAGCUUUUGUUGUAGUUGGGAAUGCUUUGAUCAAUAUGUAUUUUAGGAGUGGCCAAAUUGAAGCCGCCAGGGCUUUAUUUUCAAACAUGAUAUGUCGAGAUACUGUUACUUGGAAUUUGAUAAUAACAGGUUUCUCUCAUCAUGGGCUUGGUGAGGAUGCAUUGUAUGUGUUUCAGGACAUGUUAGCUGCCAAAAAGCAACCAAACUAUGUCACCUUUAUCGGGGUUCUUUUGGCUUGUGGACAUUUGGGUAGGAUAGAAGAAGGAUUUUACUACUUGCAGCAUCUAAUGAGGGAGAUUGGCCUUGAACCUGGGUUAGAGCACUAUACCUGUGUUGUAGGGCUCUUAGGUAAAGCUGGAAAACUUUAUGAGGCUGAGAGUUUCAUGAGGUCAACGCCAAUCACAUGGGAUGUUAUUGCGUGGCGUACUUUGCUUAAUGCUUGCAACGUCCACCGCAAUUAUGAUUUAGGAAAGAGAGUGGCAGACCAUUUGUUGCAAUUGAACCCCAACGAUGUGGGAACCUAUAUCUUGUUGUCCAAUAUGCAUGCCAAGGUGAAAAGGUGGGAUGGUGUAGCAAAGAUACGGAAGUUAUUAAGAGAAAGGAACAUAAAAAAAGAACCUGGAUUGAGCUGGACUGAAAUAAGAAAUGAAACUCAUGUGUUCGUUUCGGAUGACACUCAACACCCAGAGACCGCUCAAAUCCAUGAGAAGGUGAGAAAAUUGUUGGCUGAAAUAAAACCAUUGGGUUAUGUUCCAGACACGGCUUCUGUCCUGCAUGACGUUGAGCAAGAACAACAAGAGGGUUAUCUUAGUUACCACAGCGAAAAGCUGGCUGUAGCAUAUGCUCUCAUGAAAACACCUUCCCAAGCGCCAAUUCAUAUUAUUAAGAAUCUCAGAAUAUGUGAUGAUUGCCAUUCUGCUUUGAAGCUUAUCUCGAAGGUCACCAUGAGAGUGAUAGUUGUAAGAGAUGUCAAUCGGUUCCAUAGUUUUCAAUAUGGGUCCUGUUCGUGUGCAGAUUACUGGUGAAACAUCACAAGAUUGGCAUAUAGUUUCUUACGAGGGGUCAAAGGAGAAUUUUUCCUGCUGUUACCUAAAAUCGGAAAUGUGUUGGUCUGUGAUCCUCAUUGUAGUACUCCUGAGGUGUACCUAACUCCACUCCGUACUUCAUGCUAACAGUGUGUUUCACUCCCAAGAAGUUGUAAUUCCAUGGGCAAUUAUCAGGUGUCAUGUAAAAGCCAAGGAAUCGGUCACUCAAGAGCAUCUGGACCUUCUCGUAAUGAGUCGGCAGUUAACGAACAAGACCCCGGUGUGAAACUGCAUGUCAUUAAAAUGCACUUGUCUCCAUCCCAGUGUUUGUUAUUCUCCAGGAUCCGAGCAUGUGAAGUAACAUCCUGUGGCGAUAACUGAGAAAGCUCAUUUGGUUGUGUAUGCAUCCAUCCCAAAGGCUCCAAGUCAGUGAGAAAAUCAUGGAAGACCUGAAGGUAGAUGCACCU